ACGGGAGGCAGCAGUGGGGAAUGUUGGACAAUGGAGGAAACUCUGAUCCAGCGACGCCGCGUGAGUGAAGAAGUAUUUCGGUAUGUAAAGCUCUUUAAGCAGGAAAGAAAAUGACGGUACCUGCAGAAUAAGCCCCGGCUAACUACGUGCCAGCAGCCGCGGUAAUACGUAGGGGGCAAGCGCUAUCCGGAUUUACUGGGUGUAAAGGGAGCGUAGACGGCAAUACAAGUCUGAAGUGAAAGCCUGUGGCUUAACUGCAGAACUGCUUUGGAAACUGUAUAGCUAGAGUGUCGGAGAGGUGAGUGGAAUUCCUAGUGUAGCGGUGAAAUGCGUAGAUAUUAGGAAGAACACCGGUGGCGAAGGCGGCUCACUGGACGAUAACUGACGUUGAGGCUCGAAAGCGUGGGGAGCAAACAGGAUUAGAUACCCUGGUA
rnacentral:rRNA from 1 species